GGACCGUUGGUAUAUCGGUUUAUUAUUCUUCCCUGUCACGGAAGAGAGACGAGUUCGACUCUCGUACGGUCCGCCA
rnacentral:tRNA from 1 species